rnacentral:rRNA from 1 species
UGAGUAACCUGCCCUUAACUCUGGGAUAAGCCUGGGAAACUGGGUCUAAUACCGGAUAUGACUCCUCAUCGCAUGGUGGGGGGUGGAAAGCUUUAUUGUGGUUUUGGAUGGACUCGCGGCCUAUCAGCUUGUUGGUGNGGGUAAUGGCCNCAACGAGGCGACGG